AUCUUUUUAGUAUAGAAAGUAUAUUUGACUUCCAAUCAAAAGGCCCAUUUUAUGGAAAAGAUA
rnacentral:tRNA from 1 species